rnacentral:rRNA from 1 species
ACUCCUACGGGAGGCAGCAGUGGGGAAUAUUGCACAAUGGGCGCAAGCCUGAUGCAGCCAUGCCGCGUGUAUGAAGAAGGCCUUCGGGUUGUAAAGUACUUUCAGCGGGGAGGAAGGCAAUACGGUUAAUAACCGUGUUGAUUGACGUUACCCGCAGAAGAAGCACCGGCUAACUCCGUGCCAGCAGCCGCGGUAAUACGGAGGGUGCAAGCGUUAAUCGGAAUUACUGGGCGUAAAGCGCACGCAGGCGGUCUGUCAAGUCGGAUGUGAAAUCCCCGGGCUCAACCUGGGAACUGCAUUCGAAACUGGCAGGCUUGAGUCUUGUAGAGGGGGGUAGAAUUCCAGGUGUAGCGGUGAAAUGCGUAGAGAUCUGGAGGAAUACCGGUGGCGAAGGCGGCCCCCUGGACAAAGACUGACGCUCAGGUGCGAAAGCGUGGGGAGCAAACAGGAUUAGAAACCCCAGUAGUCCC